rnacentral:rRNA from 1 species
AUCAAUAAGCGGAGGAAAAGAAACUAACAAGGAUUCCCCUAGUAACGGCGAGUGAAGCGGGAAGAGCUCAAAUUUGUAAUCUGGCACCUUUGGUGUCCGAGUUGUAAUCUCGAGAAGUAUUUUCCGCGCCGGACCGCACACAAGUCUGUUGGAAUACAGCGUCAUAGUGGUGAGAACCCCGUAUCUGGUGCGGAUGCCCGGUGCUUUGUGAUAUACUUUCGAAGAGUCGAGUUGUUUGGGAAUGCAGCUCAAAUUGGGUGGUAAAUUCCAUCUAAAGCUAAAUAUUGGCGAGAGACCGAUAGCGAACAAGUACCGUGAGGGAAAGAUGAAAAGCACUUUGGAAAGAGAGUUAACAGUACGUGAAAUUGUUGGAAGGGAAACGCUUGAAGUCAGACUUGCAUUUCGGAGUUCAGCCGCAAGGUGUAUUCUUCGAUUCGCAGGCCAGCAUCAGUUUUUGAGGGUGGAAAAGCGCGGUUUGAAGGUAGCAGUCUCGGCUGUGUUAUAGCUUUCCGCUGGAUUCACUUUUGGGGACUGAGGAACGCAGUACGCUUUUUGCAAGACUCUUGAGUCUUUCGUACUUAGGAUGCUGGUGG